rnacentral:tRNA from 1 species
GGAGACAUAGUUCAGUGGUAAUGAGCACUGGUUGCUCUUCCAGAGGCCCUGGGUUUAAUUCCCAGGCUCCA